rfam:Lutibacter sp. BRH_c52 BRHa_1002409, whole genome shotgun sequence.
GAAAAGGCUGUUUUUAAAGCCACCAAUAAAAACAGGGAGGUUAAA